ensembl:lncRNA
CUCAUUUUGUUGUUGCAUGUUUAAUCCAGCAAGUGCCAUCUAGUUGUUAUCUCAAGAAAAGUGUGUAAUAAUGGUAUUAUGUUAACCAAUAGCUUGUUUGACCAUUGAUUAGCAAACUGCUACCAUAGAAGGCUCAUGAACUAAUGGGUAGCAAACUGACACUGGGGAGGGCUGUUAAUCUUAUGUUGGAGUAGAAAGAAACCUAGAGCAGUAACAGCACAAAAAAAUCCUGAGGCCAGGGACUCUCAUUGAAUUUAAGACCAGCUUUAAUCUUCAUUGCAGCCAUUAUUUCAUUUUUUAUUUUAUUUUUUCAUUUUAUUGGUUUUUGAUUGGAACUGUGAUAAUGGCAUAUGUCAUAUUUGACACAUGCUUAUCUUUGACUUCCUUCCUUUAAUGUGAUUGUACAGCCACAUCUAAUUUGCAGACUUUCUUAUUGGAUCAGUCUCUCUUUGGUGUGAUUGCAGCAUUGUUUCCUCAAAGCCUUGCCCAGCGCCGGGUGAUUUUCUCUCACCUUGCAGGAGUGAAGAUGAUACAGUCGGUGAACUAGACAAAUUCCUGUUUUAUCUUCCCCGCUGCAGUUUUUGGAGCUGCUCAGCCUCCCUGAGGUUAUAGCUACUCAUCACCUGAUUGGAUGGAACCGG